rnacentral:rRNA from 1 species
CCCUUAGAUGUUCUGGGCCGCACGCGCGCUACACUGACGAUGGCAACGAGUUUUUCCUUCGCCGAAAGGUGUGGGUAAUCUUUUGAAACAUCGUCGUGCUGGGGAUAGAUCAUUGCAAUUUUUGAUCUUGAACGAGGAAUUCCUAGUAAGCGCGAGUCAUCAGCUCGCGUUGAUUACGUCCCUGCCCUUUGUACACACCGCCCGUCGCCACUACCGAUUGAAUGGUUUAGUGAGGACUCCUGAUUGGCGCCGCCGCCCCGGCAACGGAGCAGCGGACUGCCGAAAAGUUGUUCAAACUUGAUCAUUUAGAGGAAGUAAAAGUCGUAACA